AACGAACGCUGGCGGCAGGCUUAACACAUGCAAGUCGAACGCAUCCUUCGGGGUGAGUGGCAGACGGGUGAGUAACGCGUGGGAACGUGCCCUUCAGUUCGGGAUAACCCAGGGAAACUUGGGCUAAUACCGGAUACGUGCGAGAGCAGAAAGAUUUAUCGCUGAAGGAUCGGCCCGCGUCUGAUUAGCUAGUUGGUGGGGUAAUGGCCCACCAAGGCGACGAUCAGUAGCUGGUCUGAGAGGAUGAUCAGCCACCUUGGGGCUGAGACACGGCCCAAACUCCAACGGGAGGCAACGGUGGGGAAUAUGGGACAAUGGGCGCAAGCCUGAUCCAGCCAUGCCACGUGAGUGAUGAAGGCCUUAGGGUUGUAAAGCUCUUUCGUCCGGGACGAUAAUGACGGUACCGGAAGAAGAAGCCCCGGCUAACUUCGUGCCAGCCGCCGCGGUAAUAC
rnacentral:rRNA from 1 species